rnacentral:rRNA from 1 species
UUAAAACGCUCGUAGUUGGGUUUCUGUCGGGAGCAACUGGUCUGCCCAAGUGGCGAGUACUUGUUCUGUUCCUGGCAUCUUCUUGGGGAACGAGUGCGCACUUCAUUGUGUGGCUCGGAAACCAGGACGUUUACUUUGAGGAAAUGAGAGUGCUUCAAGCGGGUGUCCGCCACGAAUACGUUAGCAUGGAAUAAUAGCAUUGGACCUCGGAUCAUAGCUGUUGGUUGCUAGAACCGGGGUGAGGGUAAACAGGGACAGUUGGGGGCAUUCGUAUUUAACUGUCAGAGGUGAAAUUCUUGGAUU